GGGCGUAUAGCUCAACGGUUAGAGCGCCUGCCUUACACGCAGGAUGUUGGGGGUUCGAAUCCCUCUACGCCCACCA
rnacentral:tRNA from 2 species